GUUAGAGAGUAACAGAUCAGAGGUAUUAAAGGAUGUUUAACUGGUUAGAGAGUAACAGAUCAGAGGUAUUAAAGGAUGUUUAACAGGUUAGAGAGUAACAGAUCAGAGGUAUUAAAGGAUGUUUAACAGGUUAGAGAGUAACAGAUCAGAGGUAUUAAAGGAUGUUUAACUGGUUAGAGAGUAACAGAUCAGAGGUAUUAAAGGAUGUUUAACUGGUUAGAGAGUAACAGAUCAGAGGUAUUAAAGGAUGUUUAACUGGUUAGUAAUGUGGAGUUCAGCUCAGCUAAUAUCACUGAAGAUUAAACAUUAAAUAGGCUAUCCUAAAUGGAAGCUAGUUUGCCAUUACUGAU